AAAGGCAUGUCCUUCUUUCUUCAUGUCACAAAAUGAACACUCACAAGGAAGCAUUGAUGAAAAAGGAAAAUCCUUUACACCCAAUAUGACCAGGAUUUAAUCAUACGCUCAAAUCAUAAUUUCAAAACUUAAAGUACGUUAUGGUUAUAUAAUAUAAACAAUCAAGCUAUUGAUGUCUCCUUAUUGCACCUUUCACAUCCCACUCAUCAUACCUACUAUAUCCAUCAGUUUAAUGCUAAUACAAGUUUGGAUUACCAGUAACACCUAACAGGGGCCACUCAUCCUGCAUCAACUUCAGGAUCUCGCGGAUCAGCACUGACGGAACAAUCAUUUGGUGACCAUCUGCAGACAAACAGAUCAUACUACUAUUUUCUAUAGCUUACAAGAUAUAACUAAAAUAAAAGAACUGCAAGUUUCUUAUACCACUUUGAAGUUAAACCAACACAACUUGCUCCAUACAUAGGAAACUUCCCAGUUGUCAUAAAAAAAGUAGAAACAAAAAAUAAGUACUUUCUUUCGUGAUAUAUUUUGACAAAUCACUUGUGUCAUUUGCUAUGUUUAGCUUUUAACUUCAUGCAUAAAUAACAUGAUAAGCAACCCUAAACUAUAUAAGAUCACGAGCUAUACAAUUACGUAAUAAAGGAACAAGUCCAUAAAUUGACCAUCCAUAAAUGUUUCCAAAUUUACCCAAAUUAGGAGCAUUCCAAAGAUUGGUACUACUCCUAUGGUAAACAAGAAGAGCUAUAGGCCACCAUGAGUGAUGACGAAAUAUGCAACACAGUAGGUGUACAUCUAGAACAAUAGUUCACUGAUCACUGGGCAGAGAUAAGAAAGAUCAAUGUAUAAUUUUAUUUAUAUGCAUAUGCUAGACAAUCUCUUGUGUCUCCACAUCACUACCAUCUAGAAGGGACCAAUAAAAUAAAUAUUUAGCCAUCUAUUUCAUACAUUCAGCAGCUAAAUAGAGACGAGAGGCCAACGAGCACCGGCUGCUAGAAGAUUGAGGUUAGACAUCUUACCAGCCAUAGAAAGUUCAGGUUUAGGUUCAGAAAUGACCUCGGCGCCAGAAGCUCCUAUUCUGUGGCCUCGGCGAUGCAUUUGGCUCACAGGCGAC
rnacentral:lncRNA from 1 species